GUUCACUAUUGUGGAAUGGGGUCAAGAAUCUUAAUUUCAUUCUGCUACCGCGACUUUGAAACCUUAUCUUCACUGAGAAAUAUUCAAUCCCAAUGACAUUUUCUUUGCCAAUUUUGUUGGUGAUUCAGCACCUAGGGGGAAAAAGUAGGUUAACUACAAUGAGUUGGGAGAUUUUAAAAAAUAAUGUCAAUGAGUUCAUGCAAUAUGCUCAGUAAGAUCCAAGUCAAGCGAGCCCCUGACUCAUGCAGGAAGCUUUCCAAGCUGCGUGUGUGUGCUGAAGUAGCAUUCUCAGCCCUUUUGAGUGCAUUGUGCUGGCAUUCUGGGGAGCAGUACUGGCAUGAGAGCCGCUCCCAGACUCCCUGUGCCAAAAGGACACCUUUUCCUGCAAUAUCAGCACAAGUGAGGAGAAGUCAGGCAAGGGUGGAGGAUUGCCCACAAGCUGUGUUCUCAUGUUUUUCAUUACAGGAGUUGAAAAUAUAUGAAGCAAUAUAAACAAGGCAAGAUAAGAAACAAGAGUUUUCUGAUUCAGACCCAACAGGACAAGAUACCUUUCACUGUUCCGACUUCCCCCUGGGUCUUGUGGUGAUUUCUGAACCGAUUUGCUUCCAUUCCCCACGGUUGCUUUGAUACACAGUUCAUAAAAAAGCUCAGCUGAAAGUAUUUGCAAGGCCUCUUUCAUAGAUGCAGGAAUAGAGUCUCUCUCUACCUCCCUCCCCUGCUCACCCUUCUUAUUAUGAAAACUAUAGCUAAAAUCACACUGUAUUAUUUCAUUUGGCACAUAGGUUUCUCCUUUCACUUUGAUUUUCUCAUGGGUUUCCUUUUUGGCUCCUGCUAGAACCCCACCUUCCAGAUACUCCUGCUUCCAAUUUAUUGACAUUUGUGCAUUUAUUGCAUGGUAUAUAGGUCAAGGUGAGGUUCUGCAAACUAGCAGCAGCAGUUCUUUCAGAUGUUCUGGACUUUGCAGUCUCUUUUGCUUUAUCACUUUAUUACAUGUGCAUCAACUUUAUUUGGCAUCCCUGCUUCAUAAACUUAUUAAAGAAAUGGCAAAACUAUUGGGGAGGUUUAAAAUGGGGAGAGUUCAUUCUAAAAUAAUUUUCUUACCCUACCCCUUCAUAGAAGUCCUUAACAAUUGUCAAGUAAUAGAUGCCAAGGGAAGACAGUUGAUCUUUCCUGGAUAAAUUUACUACUAUAAUUUUAUCCCUUUUUAAUCCCCUUAAUUUUUGCCUGUAGUGUUUGCAUGGGAGAAAUGCUGGUGAUGGAUCUCAGUGUAGAAGGUUAUGCACAUAGCAGGCAUCUCAGAUUUACACUUUCCCCAAAUCGCAGAACUCUGCACUGCCCAGUAUUGUCCUUCAAACUUAACAUAAUGCCACUGUAGUUCUUGAUGCAACAUGAGGAACUGUUGGGGUUGGAGAGGUAGAAAGAGGGAGAAAUUUGAAUGUAUGCAUGCAACUGGUUGUACAUUCCUAAAGGGAUUGUUUUGAUUCAUAAUAGUGCAGUUUUAGUUCAACUGACCCUUAAAGGGUUGAUUUGCUUAGAUUGCCGACAUCUUCAGUUUGGUAUCAGUCUUUCUGUGUGUCUAGGAGCUGGGUACCUAUACCCACAGAAUAGAUGGCAGAUGGAGGCUAACAUUUAAUGCACGCUGCCAUUUUCCUUUUGACAUUUACCUGUCAGUCUCUUUGCUACUAAUACCCAAGGACAAAAAUUGAGAUGCAAUGCCUCAGUGCAACAUGACAUAUGGAAAUGUUACUAUCUUUGCUCUUGAUUAAUAUGUCUCAGAAGUGCUGGAUUUCCCUGGAGAUAUUUACACGCUGUGUAGGCUUCUGCUCUGUUCAAGACCCUAAAGGUGUAAAGCCAAGACUUUCCACAAAUCAUCAGAUAAAGAGGUCAUUGUAUAUAUGUUCCUUCAGUAUGACUCUUCUUCAGCUGAGCUCAGGAGAAGGAAGUGUUGAAUAGUUUUCUUGACUGUAAUUGAAUUAAUUUAAAUGAAAAGUAAGUUGUUUAGAUAGCCAGGUCUUCUCUGAAGAGCCUUGGUCUUAAUCUAAGCUACCUAGUAGCGGGAAAGCAGAUGUUUCUUGCUCUGCUCCUGAAAAGGAAACUCAUUUGUAGGAAUUCACUGCUGUACAAGGAUCUACUGAAUUUAGCCUAUACAGGCAGGCUUAGGUGUGACUGUGAAAAUGAAGGAGUGCAACCCAUGACUGUUAGUGCAAGAGCUUUUAGGUGGUGUGGGGAUCUAAACCUUUAUUAAUGCGUUAGAGGGGUGUGGGUGUGUGGGUGUGGGUGUGGGUGUGGGUGUAAAGUAAGCUGGGCAGAGACAACACAUUUUUGUUGUGUUAUGGUUUGGGAAUAUGUGUAGGCAUUCUAAUUACAGCAUGAACUAAUCUUGUGAAGAAUUAUUGUGAAAACCAACUGUGCUUGCAAACCUAAAUCAUCAUAGAUAUCUUAGUAAUGGCUGUUGCUACAAUGAUGUCCCUUCACUAAAGGGAAAUUAUGCAUGGGGUUCGCCAUCUCAAAUAUAUGUUCCACUAAUGGCCUGCUUUUGAGCUAAACUUUCCUUCAUGUUUAAUUGAAAACAGCCAAAUGAAUAUACUGUAUUUUUCCGUGUAUAAGACUAGGUUUUUUUCCCUAAACAAUAAUGUCAAAAAUUAGGGGGCGUCUUAUACAUGGAUAAGAGCAUAUAGUUUUCAUCUUGCAUCCCGCGGCAACCCAGAAGUACUGGAAUGGGUUACUUCUGGGUUUUGCCGCAUGCGCAUGCACAGAAGCAGUGGGGUGCUUCAAGUUGCGGGCUUUUGACAUUAUGGAUGGGUCUCUGGAAUGUAUCCCCUCUGUAACACAAGGUACCACUGUACUGGAUGUGUCCCUUAGGUAUGUAUAUUUAAAAGGCCAGAAUACUAAAAAAUGAACGUUUGACUUAGAAUAAUCCUUCUCUUAAUUAUAAAAUAUGCCACAUUCAGGGUCCAUUAAUAUAUUUUUAAGUUAAUAUUUUAGUAAAGGAAGAAGCAUGUGACAUGGAGUACAGAAAGAAUAGGAAGCAGAGAUGCAGCUCCAUAAAGGAGGGGUUAUCUCAUCUGGGAGAGGCAUAUCCGUUCCUGUUUCAGCAUGGUUUAUGGUCUUUCUUUAAUGUGUACUCACUCUUCUCUCUUCUCCACUUGUGGAAGUUUUCACUUUCAAACAAGCCACAACUCUUCAUUACAUAUGAACUCGGGGAACUGUGGUUUGCUCAAACUUAAGUUAGUUUAAAUAACCCAAUAUAGUUUGAUAUUCUGUCCAAGUUUGUGCAUAAUAUGGAACUGUGUUUUGUUCUAAAGUGGAACCAGAGGCUUACAUUCAUCUGUUUUGCAUAGAAAAGAAAAUGGGGUGACUGUAUAAACUAAGGGUCACUGUAGUUUGUUUGCUGCCACCCAUUGUUUGGUGUUUGUAAGUGGGCCACUGAGGUCUUUUUACUAAAGGGUAGUGGUAUACCCAGCACAUUCCUUAUCAAAUGAAUUGAAAUGUAGAUAUUCCAAAUAUUUUGUGUCUCUCUAAAGAGGAAUAACUAAAACUGGGUGCACCACAUAUACUAUGUAGUUAUGAUUUAAGGAGCAAUGUAUUGGUGUAUAUCCACAUGCCUGGUAUAAAGGGGUUAAGUUAAUUUAGAAUUAAAAGUGAAGGAAAUGCUUUAGAAGUUAGAUAUUGGGAAAACACUAAAUUAGGCGUUCCUGUUUGACACUUUAUUGUAACUACCAAGCAGCUAACAUGUAGCUUUCUGUAAUAAAGAUUAAUUUUGUUCACUUCAAGAAGAAUAGCUUCUAUUGGAGUUUUAAAAAAUGCACACUUUACAGAUUUAUGCAGUCUGCAUCCCUAAUAUUACUAUAAAUCUGAACUUCUUAGGAGUACUGACUAAUAUAUACAACUCUUUCGCUUGGGAUAAUUUGGUUAUUUACUGCUGUUCCUUGUCUUAUUUAUUUUAAAAAGUUAUACCCUGCCUCCUUCAUGGCACUUGCAGUACCUCUCAAAGU